rnacentral:rRNA from 1 species
GCGCGGGGCAACCUGGCGGCGAGUGGCGAACGGGUGAGUAAUACAUCGGAACGUACCCAGAAGUGGGGGAUAACGUAGCGAAAGUUACGCUAAUACCGCAUACGAUCUACGGAUGAAAGUGGGGGACCUUCGGGCCUCAUGCUUUUGGAGCGGCCGAUGUCUGAUUAGCUAGUUGGUAGGGUAAAGGCCUACCAAGGCGACGAUCAGUAGCUGGUCUGAGAGGACGACCAGCCACACUGGAACUGAGACACGGUCCAGACUCCUACGGGAGGCAGCAGUGGGGAAUUUUGGACAAUGGGCGCAAGCCUGAUCCAGCAAUGCCGCGUGAGUGAAGAAGGCCUUCGGGUUGUAAAGCUCUUUUGUCAGGGAAGAAACGGUUCCGGCUAAUAUCCGGGGCUAAUGACGGUACCUGAAGAAUAAGCACCGGCUAACUACGUGCCAGCAGCCGCGGUAAUACGUAGGGUGCAAGCGUUAAUCGGAAUUACUGGGCGUAAAGCGUGCGCAGGCGGUUUUGUAAGUCUGAUGUGAAAUCCCCGGGCUCAACCUGGGAAUUGCAUUGGAGACUGCAAGGCUAGAAUCUGGCAGAGGGGGGUAGAAUUCCACGUGUAGCAGUGAAAUGCGUAGAGAUGUGGAGGAACACCGAUGGCGAAGGCAGCCCCCUGGGUCAAGAUUGACGCUCAUGCACGAAAGCGU